UACAGAGGUCCCAAGCGUUGUUCGGAUUCACUGGGCGUAAAGGGUGCGUAGGUGGCGGUGUAAGUUUGAUGUGAAAUCUCCGGGCUCAACCCGGAAAAUGCAUUGAAUACUACAUUGCUGGAGGUUUGGAGGGGGGACUGGAAUUCCCAGUGUAGAGGUGAAAUUCGUAGAUAUUGGGAAGAACACCGAUGGCGAAGGCAGCCAUCUGGACCGACACUGACGCUGAGGCGCGAAAGCGUGGGGAGCAAACAGG
rnacentral:rRNA from 1 species